GAUCAUGGCUCAGGAUGAACGCUAGCUACAGGCUUAACACAUGCAAGUCGAGGGGCAUCGGGAAGAAAGCUUGCUUUCUUUGCCGGCGACCGGCGCACGGGUGAGUAACACGCAUCCAACCUGCCCUUUACUCGGGAGUAGCCUUUCGAAAGAAAGAUUAAUACCGAUGGCAUAAUGAUUCCGCAUGGUUUCAUUAUUAAAGGAUUCCGGUAAAGGAUGGGGAUGCGUUCCAUUAGGUUGUUGGUGAGG
rnacentral:rRNA from 1 species